rnacentral:tRNA from 1 species
CGGGGUGUAGCGCAGUCCGGUUAGCGCACCUGCUUCGGGAGCAGGGGGUCGUGGGUUCGAAUCCCGCUACCCCGA